CCUCCAGGGCCUCUUUGGGAGGGCAAAUGAAAUUUCUCAGAGCAAAGCAUUGAGUUUGUGUUUGCUGAGUCCCAAGGCACGUGUUGCUUGUCCUGGCUGCAUGAGAGGCUCCCUGUCCUGCAGGUCCUUCUCGCCCAUCUCCGUGAGGUGGCAGAGGAUCAGCCUGGGGUAACCUGCCCUUGGAAGGUGAUGCCAGAGUCUCACCCAAAGGCCAGGCUGAGAAUAAAAGGAGGCUGCCUGAAGAAGUGAAGCCCCCUUGGGAUGGGCAACAGCCUGGAACCUGAAGCAUGGGGUGCAUUAUUGGUCAGAAAUCCUCCAUCGGGCGCUGCUCGUGGGCUGCGGCAUCCCUGCAUGGAGCCGGUGCACGAGCUGCCCCUUGCGAUGGGGCUGUGGGAGUGGGCAGCGGUGACCGUGGGGGAACACAGCAGCAUCCAGGUCCCCACCAGCUCUGGGCAAAUCUGUGCUUGGAAAUGCCGGCUCCGGUGCAGAACAGCUAAACUUCUCCUCCGCAGACAUCUCCAAACCUGUGCUCCAGCGCUUGCAUUGCUGCUUCUUCUGGCUUUCUAACAGCUCCUGAAGUUGCAGCGGGGGCUCUGCCCCACCUGAGGGAUGGGACUUUCGGCUUGGUGCUGCAAAACCUGCAUGAGUGCCCAUGGGGAGAAAGGUGAAUGUCUCGCUGCUGCAUUUCUGUGAGCUCUGAUAUCACAGCAUGCUGAAGAUGGACCCAGGCAAACCCUUCCUUCAUCAGGAGUCGGGGAAUCCCAGCUCUCGGCCGCGGUCCGUGCUCAGGCCUCGCAGCUGAGCCAACAGUGCUCUCAACCAAAGCCCUGACGUGGGUGCUGUCUGCAUCAAGUCAAGAUGUUCCCUGAGCUCAUCCAACAACAACAAAACUAUUCCAGGUGCUCCAAAGAACUGCUACAGCCUGUAGUCCUGUGGGACAUGCAGGACAACGUGUACAACAACCUACAACUCCACGGGUCUGCAGAGCUUCGUGCUGCCCCAUCCCCAUGGGACUGAGCGCUCCUCCAGACUGUUCAGACUGUGGAAAUAAACCUCCAACCCCUUUACAGGCAUCAACCCAACAUCUUCAGCUUGUGGUUGGGAGCACGGAGGAAAAGCACAUGGAGCAGAAAGGGUGUGCGUGGGGGGAGCCAGCCUUUGGAGAGGGCAGGGGCAGAAACAUCGUGUUUCUGCUCUGUGGUUGAGCAUGGGCUCAGCUGGGUGCUUGAUGGGCAUGAAAACAUUUCUGUAAGCCAUCUCAAAACAUCCCAAAGGCAGUUGGAAGCCAUGCUCCCAGGCGACACAGGGGAUAAAAUGCAAUCCACCACUGCCCAGCACCAGGACAGGAGAU